CAGCAGCCGCGGUAAUACGUAGGUGGCAAGCGUUGUCCGGAAUUAUUGGGCGUAAAGGGCUCGCAGGCGGUUUCUUAAGUCUGAUGUGAAAGCCCCCGGCUCAACCGGGGAGGGUCAUUGGAAACUGGAAAACUUGAGUGCAGAAGAGGAGAGUGGAAUUCCACGUGUAGCGGUGAAAUGCGUAGAGAUGUGGAGGAACACCAGUGGCGAAGGCGACUCUCUGGUCUGUAACUGACGCUGAGGAGCGAAAGCGUGGGGAGCGAACAGGAUUAGAUACCCGUGUAGUCCCUGUCUCUUAUAC
rnacentral:rRNA from 1 species